rnacentral:rRNA from 1 species
GAUGAACGCUGGCGGCGUGCCUAAUACAUGCAAGUCGAGCGAACAGACGAGGAGCUUACUCCUCUGACGUUAGCGGCGGACGGGUGAGUAACACGUGGAUAACCGACCUAUAAGACUGGGAUAACUUCGGGAAACCGGAGCUAAUACCGGAUAACAUGUUGAACCGCAUGGUUCAACAGUGAAAGACGGUCUUGCUGUCACUUAUAGAUGGAACCGCGUCGCAUUAGCUAGUUGGUAAGGUAACGGCGUACCAAGGCAACGAUGCGUAGCCGACCUGAGAGGGUGAACGACCACACUUGAACUGAGACACGGUCCAGACUCCUACGGGAGGCAGCAGUAGGGAAUCUUCCGAAAUGGGCGAAAGCCUGACGGAGCAACGCCGCGUGGGUGAAAGAGGUCUUCGGAUCGUAAAACUCUGUUAUUAGGGAAGAAAAAAUGUGUAAGUAACUAUGCACGUCUUGACGGUAACUAAUCAGAAAGCCACGGCUAACUACGUG